rnacentral:lncRNA from 1 species
GUCGGCAGCAUUGUUGCUCGCAGCAAGCUGUUCGAUAUCGGCUGUGUGCUCUUCUACAACGAGGCCGCUGGAGUGCGCGUGCGACCUGGGGAGCUGGUCCCCUUGGCGAGGCAUGCGCUUGCGGUGCCGCUGCACAUGCCGCUCACGAUUGAGCUUGACAUUCGUCAUGGUGGAUCCGGAGAUGAAAUUGUUAGAGGCGAGCUUGAGUUCAAAACUGCCAUCGACGGCCUGCAUACGGGACGUCUUGUUGGUGUCAAUGAUGCUGAAUUCGAGGUGACANNNNNNNNNNCGUGCCGCUGCACAUGCCGCUCACGAUUGAGCUUGACAUUCAUCAUGCUGGAUCCGGAGAUGAAAUUGUUAAAGGCGAGCUUGAGUUCAAAACUGCCAUCGACGGCCUCCAUACGGGACGUCUUGUUGGUGUCAAUGAUGCUGAAUUCGAGGUGACAAUCUUAUGGUCGGAGUACCCUUGGUAGACA